GCGACCCCAGGUCAGGCGGUAUUACCCGCUGAGUUUAAGCAUAUCAAUAAGCGUAGGAAAAGAAACUUACAAAGAUUCCCUUAGUAACGGCGAGCGAACCGAGAAUAGUCUAGACUUAGAAUCGGGCGGCUCCGUCAUCCGAAUUAUAGUCUGGAGAAGCGUCCUCAGCGGCGUACCAGGCCCAAGUCCCCUAGAAGGGGGCGUCGUAGAGGGUGAGAGCCCCGUCAUGCCUGGACCCUGUCGCACCACGAGGCGCUGUCUACGAGUCAAAUUGUUUGGGAAUGCAGCCCAAAUCGGGCGGUGAAUUCUAUCCAAGGCUAAAUAUGGGCGAGAGACCGAUAGCGAAAAAGUACCACAAGGGAAAGAUGAAAAGGACUUUGAAAAGAGAGUCAAAGAGUGCUUGAAAUUAUCGGGAGAGAAGCGGAUGGGGGCCGGCGAUGCGCCUCGGUCGGAUGUGGAAUGACGACGAGCCAGUCUGCCAAUUGACUCGGGGCGUGGACCAGCGUGGAUUGGGGGGGCGUCCAAAGACCGAGCUCUCGAUACGCUCGUGGAAUGCCGUCUCCUCGAUUGUGGAAGGCAGCGCAUGCCUCCGGCGUGCUUCGGCAUCUGCGCACUCCGAACGCUGGCCUGUUGAUAACACUCAAUCUACAACUCUCGUGGAAGUGUAAAGCGGUCGUUAGCAAAUAUAGAACCCAACCUGGGUUGGGUGUCGAUCCCACAGGGAAUAGUUUGGCCAACAAGUAAGCGAAAUUACUAAACUUUUGGUGCAAGUCUCGAAAAAGGGGGGAGUCUUGUCGUGCAAGUAAUGUUAGCAAAGGAUUAAAGGAAAAGCUGAAAAUAGCAAAGUAAACAGAAAGAAUGUUUAGUAAGUUGUAAAUAAUGAGAAUUGAGGCAUUGGGGUUAUGUCCACCUUCUGAGUUAUACGUCUCUAUUGGCUAUGAGUGUGUUGAAUUCAGACAUGCAUGUGCUUAUAGAGAAUUGUAUUCGAUGGUAAAUCCAGGCGUCUUUCGACCUAUUCGAGGAUUAUUUCACUUUAACUCUUUCGAUCUUAAAGCGUGUCUAACGGUACAAAUUCUCCAAGAGGUUAAUCCAGUUACGACACUAACUUUUCAAUAGGGGAUGGGACCCUACUACCUUGACAUUAUCUCUUUUCCAGACAAAUAACUUUUCUUUCGAACAAGUUAAAUGUUAUACUGGCAUUUUCUAUGCGUCUGCAGCCACAAGAAUUUGCAUUAAGAUGAAGAGAAUAAUGAUUUAAGCAGCAUACGUGUCACGAACUCACAAACUCAUAGCAAUAGAUAGUAUCUCAUAAGGCUUACAUAACCCCAACAGAGAAGUUUAGUUACCCAUGAAUGCGAAGGUAAUCACAAUUGACAUUGUUAAUAUACAACAAUGAAGAUGAAUUUCGUGUAGCACAACUGUGGUAGGCGUUAGGCGUGAUUUCUUGCAAAGUAACAUUUCUCUUGUUGCGGAAAUUAAGAAUUAAAUACAUGAAUGAAAAAAUAGAAUUAAUAGAAGAGUAAUUGUUUUGAUGGAUGGAUAGAUGGUAGAUGGAUUGAAGAAUGGUGAAUUGUGGAAUGGUGGAAUGGUGAAUGAAUAAAAAUCUCUAGCAUGAUAGGGUAUUUAUAAUACCCAUAUCCUAAUCCUACUAAGCUAAUGAAAUAUCUAACCAAAUCCUACUAAGCUAAUGAAAUACUUAACCCAAUUGUACUAGGUUAAUGUAACAUUCUCUUAAUCCAAAUAAACAAAUGAAAUACUUAACCCAAUUGUACUAGGUUAAUGUAUCAUUAUCCAAAUCCAACUAAGUUACUGCUAGUCCCCAAAGUCUUCAGAAAUGUUGUUUUAGCCAGGGAUAGAUUUUCCAUGCAUCACUUUUGGUCCUUUAGGCGUCCAAGAUUCCUUUCCUUCCUUCGUGAGCUUUCUUUGGCGUCAAGUAAGCCAUAAAAUGCUGAAUUUUCAUCAUUUAUACCUGAAACUUUGCUAAUCAUGUUCGUUAGCUCACUUACAGGAAAAAGGACUAAAAGUGCAUUAAAUAUAUAAUUUGUUCUCAAAACUAGGCUAAAUACUGUCCACGACUGGUCUUACUCAUAACCGCAUCAUGUCUCCAAGGUGAACAGCCUCUGGUCGAUGGAAGAAUGUAGGCAAGGGAAGUCGGAAAAAUGGAUCCGUAACUUUGGAAAAAGAAUUGGCUCUGAGGGCUGGGCACGGAGGUCCCAGUACCGAACCCGUCGGCUGUCGGUGGACUCCGCGUACCGGCCGGGGGACGGACUGGGAACGGUUCCUUUAGGGGCCUUCCCCGCGCGUUGAACAGCCAACUCAGAACUGGUACGGAUAAGGGAAUUCCAAUUGUUUAAUUAAAACAAAGCAUUGCGAUAGUCCCAAUGGAUGCUCACGCAACGUGAUUUCUGCCCAGUGCUCCGAAUGUCAAAGUGAAGAAAUUCAACCAAGCGCGGGUAAACGGUGGGAGUAACUAUGACUCUCUUAAGGUAGCCAAAUGCCU
rnacentral:rRNA from 1 species